rnacentral:rRNA from 1 species
UACGGGGGGGGCAAGCGUUGUUCGGAAUUACUGGGCGUAAAGGGCGCGUAGGCGGGCUGUCAAGUCUGGGGUGAAAUCCCACGGCUCAACCGUGGAACUGCCUCGGAUACUGACGGCCUCGAGGGAGGUAGGGGCGUGCGGAACUGUGGGUGGAGCGGUGAAAUGCGUUGAUAUCCACAGGAACUCCGGUGGCGAAGGCGGCACGCUGGACCUCUUCUGACGCUGAGGCGCGAAAGCCAGGGGAGCAAACGGG